CCUACGGGGGGCAGCAGUGAGGAAUAUUGGUCAAUGGGCGCGAGCCUGAACCAGCCAAGUCGCGUGAGGGAAGACGGUCCUAUGGAUUGUAAACCUCUUUUGUCGGGGAGCAAACGACGCCACGCGUGGCGUUCCGAGAGUACCCGAAGAAAAAGCAUCGGCUAACUCCGUGCCAGCAGCCGCGGUAAGACGGAGGAUGCGAGCGUUAUCCGGAUUUAUUGGGUUUAAAGGGUGCGCAGGCGGAAGAUGAAGUCAGCGGUAAAAUUGAGAGGCUCAACCUCUUCGAGCCGUUGAAACUGGUGUUCUUGAGUGAGCGAGAAGUAUGCGGAAUGCGUGGUGUAGCGGUGAAAUGCAUAGAUAUCACGCAGAACUCCGAUUGCGAAGGCAGCAUACCGGCGCUCAACUGACGCUCAUGCACGAAAGUGUGGGUAUCGAACAGGAUUAGAUACCCCAGUAGUC
rnacentral:rRNA from 1 species